AGGAGGUGUGGUCAGGAAGGGGUGUGGUCAUGAGGGGUGUGGUCAUGAGGGGCUGGGAAGGACUUGCAUGGUGCUAACCUGGUCCUCAGUCUGGUCCUCAUGCAGUCAUUUCUAGCUGGAUCCGUGCAUGAGGAGGAAGAGGAGGAGAAGAGGAGAGCAUGGGAGAGAGGAGGGGGUCUUCUUCCUACCUGUGAUGGCUUGUUUGGACUGUCAAAGUGACACAAUUUAGAAACACCUGGGAAGAUGGCCUCCAGGAGGAACUGCCUAGAUCAGGUUGGUCGGUGGGGAUUAUCUUGAUUAUGUUAACUGAGGUGGGAGAAUCUACCCACUGUGGGUGGCACCAAUCCCUAGGAAGAAAAUUCUAAA
rnacentral:lncRNA from 1 species